rnacentral:rRNA from 1 species
UACGUAGGGACCGAGCGUUGUCCGGAUUCAUUGGGCGUAAAGAGCUCGUAGGCGGCUGCUCAAGUCGAAUGUGAAAACUCGAGGCUCAACCUCGAGCCUGCAUUCGAUACUGGGCGGCUAGAGUCUGGUAGGGGGAUCUGGAAUUCCUGGUGUAGCGGUGGAAUGCGCAGAUAUCAGGAGGAACACCUAAGGCGAAGGCAGCUCGCUGGAACGGUACUGACGCUGAGGCGCGAAAGCGUGGGGAGCAAACAGG